rnacentral:rRNA from 1 species
UACGAAGGGGGCUAGCGUUGCUCGGAAUUACUGGGCGUAAAGGGCGCGUAGGCGGACAGUUUAGUCAGAGGUGAAAGCCCAGGGCUCAACCUUGGAAUAGCCUUUGAUACUGACUGUCUUGAGUUCGGGAGAGGUGAGUGGAAUGCCGAGUGUAGAGGUGAAAUUCGUAGAUAUUCGGCGGAACACCAGUGGCGAAGGCGACUCACUGGCCCGAUACUGACGCUGAGGCGCGAAAGCGUGGGAGCAAACAGG